UGAAGGUUAGCCAAUGGUUG
rnacentral:miRNA from 1 species